GAUGAACGCUGGCGGCGUGCCUAAUACAUGCCAGUCGAGCGAACAGACGAGGAGCUUGCUCCUCUGACGUUAGCGGCGGACGGGUGAGUAACACGUGGAUAACCUACCUAUAAGACUGGGAUAACUUCGGGAAACCGGAGCUAAUACCGGAUAAUAUAUUGAACCGCAUGGUUCAAUAGUGAAAGACGGUUUUGCUGUCACUUAUAGAUGGAUCCGCGCCGCAUUAGCUAGUUGGUAAGGUAACGGCUUACCAAGGCGACGAUGCGUAGCCGACCUGAGAGGGUGAUCGGCCACACUGGAACUGAGACACGGUCCAGACUCCUACGGGAGGCAGCAGUAGGGAAUCUUCCGCAAUGGGCGAAAGCCUGACGGAGCAACGCCGCGUGAGUGACGAAGGUCUUCGGAUCGUAAAACUCUGUUAUUAGGGAAGAACAAAUGUGUAAGUAACCAUGCACGUCUUGACGGUACCUAAUCAGAAAGCCACGGCUAACUACGUG
rnacentral:rRNA from 1 species